rnacentral:rRNA from 1 species
GACGAACGCUGGCGGCGUGCUUAACACAUGCAAGUCGAACGAAGUGGCGAACGGGUGAGUAACGCGUAAUCAACCUGCCCAUCAGAGGGGGACAACAGUUGGAAACGACUGCUAAUACCGCAUAGUGAAGGAGGGGAUGGAGUCUGAUUAGCUAGUUGGAGGGGUAACGGCCCACCAAGGCGAUGGUCAGUAGCCGGUCUGAGGGGAUGCACGGCCACAUUGGGACUUGUCAACGGCCCCGACUCCUACGGGGGGCAGCAGUGGGGAAUCUUCCGCAAUGGACGAAAGUCUGACGGAGCAACGCCGCGUGAGUGAUGACGGCCUUCGGGUUGUAAAUCUCUGUUAAUCGGGACGCGGUACCGGAAUAGAAAGCCACGGCUAACUACGUGCCAGCAGCCGCGGUAAUAC